AGAGUUUGAUCCUGGCUCAGAUUGAACGCUGGCGGCAUGCCUAACACAUGCAAGUCGAACGAGGGUAGCAAUACCUUAGUGGCGGACGGGUGAGGAAUACGUAGGAAUUUGCCCUUAAGUGGGGGAUAGCCCGGGGAAACCCGGAUUAAUACCGCAUGAACUCGAGAGAGCAAAGUCGGGGACCUUCGGGCCUGGCGCUUUUGGAGAAGCCUACGUCGGAUUAGCUAGUUGGUGAGGUAAUGGCUCACCAAGGCUGCGAUCCGUAACUGGUCUGAGAGGAUGAUCAGUCACACCGGAACUGAGACACGGUCCGGACUCCUACGGGAGGCAGCAGUGGGGAAUAUUGGACAAUGGGCGAAAGCCUGAUCCAGCAAUGCCGCGUGUGUGAAGAAGGCCUUCGGGUUGUAAAGCACUUUAGGCUGGAAAGAAAAAGCUUUGGCUAAUAUCCAAAGCCUUGACGGUACCAGCAGAAUAAGCACCGGCUAACUCUGUGCCAGCAGCCGCGGUAAUACAGAGGGUGCGAGCGUUAAUCGGAUUUACUGGGCGUAAAGCGUGCGUAGGCGGCUAUUUAAGUCGGAUGUGAAAGCCCUGGGCUUAACCUGGGAACUGCAUUCGAUACUGGGUAGCUGGAGAUCGGUAGAGGGCGGCGGAAUUCCGGGUGUAGCGGUGAAAUGCGUAGAUAUCCGGAGGAACACCGAUGGCGAAGGCAACCGCCUGGGCCUGAUCUGACGCUGAGGCACGAAAGCGUGGGGAGCAAACAGGAUUAGAUACCCUGGUAGUCC
rnacentral:rRNA from 1 species